AGGCAAACCUGUUUGAGUGACACAUACCCUAAGUAUACUAAUUAGCAAUCCUGGGUUCCUGGACAAACGCCUCCUUUUCAUGGAAAUUUCUAGCCUUCCAUUGGGUUGUGUAUAGAUGUGCUGCUUUAAAUGGCGAGCGAACACCGAUGACUGGUUCUAGUGUAACUUCACACAAUGGUGGAAAGUUGUAAACUAAGCACCGAGAGUUUUCUACCACAUUGACAUUGUUCUGGAUAAUCCCUUUCAAUGACAAUUGACCAAAUGCAAUUGCUACAAGCCACAAGUUCAACAUGAUUACUUUGAACACAAUGCUACUGAUGCAGGUUCCGUAAGCACAGUUUUGAGACGGUUGUGACAAGAUAAAUCAGAGGAAUAUUAUCGAUCUGGCACCACCACCACGAGUGCUUCACGAAAGGAUGUCGCUGAGGCAGUGGCUGUUGUCAGCUUUUCUCAGUGCCCUCAAUUCCAUUGCUUCUCUUUUCUGCUUCCAACAUAGCCGUUCUGGUGGUGUCUUGGGUGGUGGUGCUCGAAAUCCAGGCACUUGGGUUCAGCGGUUGUAUGAACGGGCUCUUUGGCUAUUUCGAAAUAUCACAUGAACUUCCUGCUUCGCUUGAAGUCACAAUGGCAAUGAGUCGCGACGUGCUGUCAACGUUUCAGUUCUUCCAAGCGUAGAGAUCUCCGCUGACCGAUUUGCUGUCAUUCCAGCUGCACUCUGCCAUCUACGCAGUACCAUUUAUUACAAAGAAGUUAAUGAAAA